AUUGAACGCUGGCGGCAGGCCUAACACAUGCAAGUCGAGCGGAGCGGCGGACGGGUGAGUAAUACCUAGGAAUCUGCCCGAUAGUGGCGGAUAACGUUCGGAAGCGGACGCUAAUACCGCAUACUAUCAGAUGAGCCUCGGGCGGAUUAGCUAGUUGGUGAGGUAAUGGCUCACCAAGGCUACGAUCCGUAACUGGUCUGAGAGGACGAUCAGUCACACUGGAACUGAGACACGGUCCAGAAUCCUACGGGAGGCAGCAGUGGGGAAUAUUGGACAAUGGGCGAAAGCCUGAUCCAGCCAUGCCGCGUGUAUGAAGAAGGUCUUCGGAUUGUAAAGCACUUUAAGUUGGGAGGCGUUACCGGCAGAAUAAGCACCGGCUAACUCUGUGCCAGCAGCCGCGGUAAUUC
rnacentral:rRNA from 1 species